UCUCCUUCACUGCUGUUAUAAUAAACAUAACCAGGUUCACUGCAAAGAACCAAAACCUGGUCUGAAGUGCAAGAAGUUUUCCUCUGCUUAUUUCCAGUAUUGUUGAACUGCCCAUUGCCACUCCAGAUGAAACAAGAUCGAAUGCUGAAGCCUAUUAAACUGCAAUGCUGUCACUGAAGCCUGUUGUUUCUGUUAGCCCUGAUAUCUUGCCUUUGCAAAUGGCACAUUCAGUGUGAAGAAUGAGUCCAAAUCUCCAUACAGAACUGAGUGUGAUUCCACUGGGAAACUGGCAGAUUUUGCAGUUUACAAAAUAGAAACCUGUGGAGAUGAAACCACUGAAUACAGCUCCAUUUGCCUUCUGGACUUCUCUGAUGAAAUCCCAAAG
rnacentral:lncRNA from 14 species